UGUACGAUGCAUUCUCCCGCCAGCUCUUCAUCCAGAAUCAACAACCUCUCUCUCUCUCUCUCUCUCUCUCUCCGUUUCAAAAAAAUAAGGAUGAUGAGUCUAGGGCUAGGGUUCGAUUUUUGAGUCAAAAACCAGGAGAAGAUCGGAGCUAAACUGUCUCUUGCUUGAUUCUUCGAGAUUCUGGGGCCGGUGAUCAGGGGAAAUCAGAGCUAAAUAUGGCUUGAUUCUUCGAGAUUUUGGAGCCAAAAUGGUGGUGGUAGUUAGGGUUUCUUUUCAAUUUCGGUUUGAUUGUAAUUCUGGGUUUGCGGGCCAAGUUUAGGAGAAGAUCAGAGCUAAAUGCGGCUCGAUUAUACCUCGAGAUCUGAGAGGCAACGCAUUAUGGUUUUGGUUGUUGCUAGGGUUCUGCUGUCUUGUCUCCUCGCAAGAAAAGCUUUGUUGCGGCAUGUGGGCAUCUGUUAUUAAUUUAACUCUACUGUCUAGGCUAAGCCGAAUAUGAUCAGGAGAAGAUCGGAGCUAAAAUGUUGUCUCGGUUAUGCUUUGAGAAUUCGGAAGCAUUGGAUUACAGUUUUGCUUCUAGCUAGCCUUUGUUGCAUGUUCAAAUUUGGAUGUUCGGCCAAUCAGGUUAAACUUCCAGUAGGAGAUCGGAGCUAUGGUUUUGUGAUUCUGUCUACUCUCAAGUAAAUUUCCUUCAUCUUCUUUCUUCUCAUUCAGAAUUCGGCCCUUUUCAAUGUUUCCUAUUGAUUACAGGAUAAUGUAGGAAUAAAAACGUAUCAUCUAUUAUCUCAUGUUCAUGUUUGUUUGAGGCUCAUACUCCACAUCCAAGAACUCUAAUAAGAAGGAAUAUUGUUUAGCGGUAAAGUUCUAAUUAGAUUUGUUUUGUUCAGUAUACAUCUUCGGCGGCAUUGUGUAUUCUGCUUGAUCUACAGCUUCUCAUAUAUACAUUUCCUUGGGCUGGUAUUGGAUCCCUACUUUCUUCCGGAUACCAUAUAGUGAAUCUAUUUGAACAAUGACUUUCAAUUGGGUUGGCAAGGGACGCAUCCACGAAUUUUUGGGACAUGAUCGGGCAACCGCACCUGACAUCCUUGUGAAGGAUUUGGAACUCUUUGCCUCAUUGAAUGAGGCGCUGUUUGAGGAAAUCACCCGACUCCUGACACUCGGAAAAAUAAUUAACCAACUACCAAAGAGGAGAAAGCUUCCCUUCAUCAGACUGAGCAGCUCCAGACGUUCGACGCAGUUGGUCCAGGCUUUGCAGGUAGUUCCAUAUUUUUUGCCUAAAAUUUCUGUCAGUUACAUAGGUUAUGCCCACUAGUAGAAAAACAUACAUCCUAGACGGAAUAUUCUAGAUGGAAAACUUUCUGUCUAGUUUGCUAUUAAACUAGACGGAAAAUUUCCGUCUAGAAUAGUCUGUCUAGAAAAAACUAUUCUAGAGGGAAAUUUCCGUCUAGAAUAACAAAGUAGACGGUUUUAAUAUUUUUUUUUUAUUUUUUUAAUUAGAGCGAGCAUCCUAGACGAAAAUUUCCGUCUAGAAAACAUCCUAGACAGAAAAUUUCCGUCUAGGAUGGUUGGUACCCUUCCCCCCAAAAUUUCACCCCCAAUUUUCGUUCCCCCGCCUAAAUUAUUUAACUCUGAAAUAAAAUCCCCAAUCGCUGCAUUUCAUUCGCAAAUUUCGUGAUUCCCAAAUUUCAUUCCCGAAUUUCUCCCCCUCCCUCUUCAUCCACUACCAGUUCCCCUUCCCCUCCGCAGCCUCCUCUCCCUCUCCCUCUCCCGGCCCCACUCAGGCCCCAACCCCCUCGACCGCAUCCUCGUCGCCAGGGCCCACUCCCCCGCCGACCUCCUCUCCCUCCUCGCCCGCGCCGAGUCCUCCUCCCUCCUCGGCUCCGCUAAGCUCGUCGUCGUCGACUCGAUCGCCGCGUUGUUCCGGUCGGAGUUCGACAGCAGCGCGGGGACCUGAAGCGGAGGUCGGAAUUCGGCAGCACCGCGCUGUUCAUAGUCUUCCAAAAGUUUGAUUUUCUUGCUCCCAACCAAGUCUUCCUAUUUUAUCGUGUGGCUAAAUUCCUAUUUUAAGCUAUUUAUAGGCCAAUGAUUAAAUGAUUAAUAAUGACAAUCAUAUGUCUGAAGAUCAUCUGUAUUGACGAAUUCUAAUCUUCUAUAUGAGGCCUUUUUUGUUGCUUUUGUUAUGUUUACUUAUUUCUUGAAAAUGAGAACUUUUUUUUUAUGUGGCGUCUUUGAUGAAGGAAUUGGAUGUUAUACUUUUAAUCUGAUUUCAUGAUUAUUUCCAUGCUGCCUUCUUUCUGAGACCUCUAAUUAUUUUGUUUUAAUUUUAUGUAAUCAAAUGGUCAAGUGAUGAUCUGUGCAUAGUUUAAAUGAAAAAUCUCUAAUGAGAUUUUGAUUAAUAUUUUUCUAGUCUUUCGCUCCUAUCUGAUGACGAACACUUUUUCCUUCAAAAUAACAUUCUAUAAAAGAAACAAACUUUUAUAUAGAAUUUUAAUUAAUAUUUCUUUUUAGGAUUUGGGUAUUUCUUUGUAAAUUUAUGUAUUCUAUGUUUAUUUAAGUGAACUUUCAUUUGCUUCUACAAGGAAUUUAUAUUGGAUAACUGGUUUGCGUAUGAGUGAGCUUAGAUGUUCAAGGAUUGAGUUGAUUUUUACAAUUUAUAUGAAUUAAGUGGGGACUGCAGAAAAUAUUAUUGGUUUGCUUCCUGGUUGUAUUUUUAUUUGACAGAUCACAUGUAGCACACUUUCUGUUCGACAAUAUGCAUCAAUGAAACAGGAACUUCAUGUUAUCCUCAAUGAACACAUUAACUUGGAUCAUUUUGACAGUCCAAACUUAGUACUCAUUUAGCAAGUAACCUUAUAUGGUUUUCCAGUAAUUCAAACAAUAUUUCAUUAUGUGUCUUACAAAUAAUUUAUAAAAGUCGAGAUCCCAUUUAAGCCUGCAAGAGUCCUGUUGCAGGUCUUGCUUUUAAUUUUCUUCUUUUUUACUUGAUUCUUUAUUGAGAACAGUCGGUGUUUAUAAGCAGGAAGAAAAACUAAAUUUUGUAAUUUACUUUUUGAUGGUAUGUAGAAAAUUUUAUACUUCAUUCCUUGUAAUACAAUUCAAGUGUAACAUUUUGUUCUCUGAAACUUUA